rnacentral:rRNA from 1 species
GAUGAACGCUGGCGGCGUGCCUAAUACAUGCAAGUCGAGCGAACAGACGAGGAGCUUGCUCCUCUGACGUUAGCGGCGGACGGGUGAGUAACACGUGGAUAACCUACCUAUAAGACUGGGAUAACUUCGGGAAACCGGAGCUAAUACCGGAUAAUAUAUUGAACCGCAUGGUUCAAUAGUGAAAGACGGUUUUGCUGUCACUUAUAGAUGGAUCCGCGCCGCAUUAGCUAGUUGGUAAGGUAACGGCUUACCAAGGCAACGAUGCGUAGCCGACCUGAGAGGGUGAUCGGCCACACUGGAACUGAGACACGGUCCAGACUCCUACGGGAGGCAACAGUAGGGAAUCUUCCGCAAUGGGCGAAAGCUUGACGGAGCAACGCCGCGUGAGUGAUGAAGGUCUUCGGAUCGUAAAACUCUGUUAUUAGGGAAGAACAAAUGUGUAAGUAACUAUGCACGUCUUGACGGUACCUAAUCAGAAAGCCACGGCUAACUACGUG